rnacentral:rRNA from 1 species
UACAGAGGUCUCAAGCGUUGUUCGGAUUCAUUGGGCGUAAAGGGUGCGUAGGUGGCGCUGUAAGUCGGGUGUGAAAUUUCGGAGCUUAACUCCGAAACUGCAUUCGAUACUGCGGUGCUUGAGGACUGGAGAGGAGACUGGAAUUCAUGGUGUAGCAGUGAAAUGCGUAGAGAUCAUGAGGAAGACCAGUGGCGAAGGCGGGUCUCUGGGACGUUACUGACGCUGAGACGCGAAAGCGUGGGGAGCAAACAGG